rnacentral:rRNA from 1 species
GACGCUGAGGGACGAAAGCGUGGGGAGCGAACAGGAUUAGAUACCCUGGUAGUCCACGCCGUAAACGAUGCUAACUCGUUUUGGGGCGCAACUYUCAGAGACCAAGCGAAAGUGAUAAGUUAGCCACUGGGGAGUACGUUCGCAAGAAUGAAACUCAAAGGAAUUGACGGGGGCCCGCACAAGCGGUGGAUUAUGUGGUUUAAUUCGAUGAUACGCGAGGAACCUUACCAAGACUUAAAUGGGAAAUGACAGGUUUAGAAAUAGAUCCUUCUUCGGACAUUUUUCAAGGUGCUGCAUGGUUGUCGUCMGCUCGUGCCGUGAGGUGUUAGGUUAAGUCCUGCAACGAGCGCAACCCCUGUCACUAGUUGCUAACAUUCAGUUGAGGACUCUAGUGAGACUGCCUACGCAAGUAGAGAGGAAGGUGGGGAUGACGUCAAAUCAUCACGGCCCUUACGUCUUGGGCCACACACGUAAUACAAUGGCCGGUACAGAGGGCAGCUACACAGCGAUGUGAUGCAAAUCUCGAAAGCCGGUCUCAGUUCGGAUUGGAGUCUGCAACUCGACUCUAUGAAGCUGGAAUCGCUAGUAAUCGCGCAUCAGCCAUGGCGCGGUGAAUACGUUCCCGGGCCUUGUACACACCGCCCGUCAAGCCAUGGAAGUUUGGGGUACCUGAAGUCGGUGACCGUAAAAGGAGCU